AACAGACAGUGAGUGUGACUGGAUACGUGGGACAGUCUGUCCUUCUGCCCUGCUCCUGCUCUCAACUACAAGCCAAACCACACACUCUCAGAUGGAUCUUUAUUAAAGGAUCUGAUUAUAAAGAAAUCUUCCCAAAGGACCAGACAAAUCGCUACACACACAGAGUUCAGCUCAUUAAUGAUCAUCAUCCAGGAAAUCUCUCUCUACUCAUAUCACACCUGACUGUAGGGAAUGGAGGAUAUUACAGGUGUCACAUCAGCAACAAUGAUUAUAAAGACGUCUCAGUCACAGUUAAAGAGGCCACAAGAAGACCUUCAACACCCAGACCAAAGACCAAACCCACUUCCACAGCAGUUCUUGUAGACGUCACACCUACAAAACCAACCCUGGUGGUCAAGAACAAAAUGACCACA